CAGUCGAACGGACUCAUAUUGAAACCUAGUGAUUUAUGAGUUAGUGGCGGACGGGUGAGUAACGCGUGGAUAACCUACCGUAUACCGGGGGAUAACACUUAGAAAUAGGUGCUAAUACCGCAUAAGCGCACGGCUCCGCAUGGGGCAGUGUGAAAAACUCCGGUGGUAUACGAUGGAUCCGCGUCUGAUUAGCUAGUUGGCGGGGUAACGGCCCACCAAGGCAGCGAUCAGUAGCCGGCCUGAGAGGGUGGACGGCCACAUUGGGACUGAGACACGGCCCAAACUCCUACGGGAGGCAGCAGUGGGGAAUAUUGCACAAUGGGGGAAACCCUGAUGCAGCGACGCCGCGUGAGUGAAGAAGUAUCUCGGUACGUAAAGCUCUAUCAGCAGGGAAGAAAAUGACGGUACCUGACUAAGAAGCCCCGGCUAACUACGUGCCAGCAGCCGCGGUAAUACGUAGGGGGCAAGCGUUAUCCGGAUUUACUGGGUGUAAAGGGAGCGUAGACGGCAGCACAAGUCUGGAGUGAAAUCCCGGGGCUUAACCCCGGAACUGCUUUGGAAACUGUGCGGCUGGAGUGCAGGAGGGGUAAGCGGAAUUCCUAGUGUAGCGGUGAAAUGCGUAGAUAUUAGGAGGAACACCGGUGGCGAAGGCGGCUUACUGGACUGUAACUGACGUUGAGGCUCGAAAGCGUGGGGAGCAAACAGGAUUAGAUACCCUGGUAGUCCACGCCGUAAACGAUGAUUACUAGGUGUCGGGGGACCAAGGUCCUCCGGUGCCGGCGCAAACGCAUUAAGUAAUCCACC
rnacentral:rRNA from 1 species